UCGGCCUCGUGGAUGGACCAG
rnacentral:miRNA from 2 species